CCGCACAAGCGGAGGACAUGUGGUUUAAUUCGAUGAUACGCGAGGAACCUUACCUGGGCUUAAAUGCAGAGUGCAUGAAGUGGAAACACUUCUUCCCUUCGGGCUCUUGCAAGGUGCUGCAUGGUUGUCGUCAGCUCGUGCCGUGAGGUGUCGGGUUAAGUCCCAUAACGAGCGCAACCCUUAUCGUUAGUUGCCAGCGGGUAAAGCCGGGAACUCUAGCGAAACUGCCGGUGUAAACCGAGAGGAAGGUGGGAUGACGUCAAAUCAGCACGGCCCUUAUGUCCAGGGCUACACACGUGUUACAACGGCCGGUACAGAGGGCAGCUACCUGGAGACAGGAUGCGAAUCUCGAAAGCCGGUCUCAGUUCGGAUCGGAGUCUGCAACUCGACUCCGUGAAGCUGGAUUCGCUAGUAAUCGCGCAUCAGCCAUGGCGCGGUGAAUACGUUCCCGGGCCUU
rnacentral:rRNA from 1 species